rnacentral:rRNA from 1 species
UGAGGAAUAUUGGUCAAUGGGCGCAAGCCUGAACCAGCCAUGCCGCGUGCAGGAAGAAUGCCCUAUGGGUUGUAAACUGCUUUUAUUUGGGAAUAAACCUCUUUACGUGUAGAGAGCUGAAGGUACCAAAUGAAUAAGCACCGGCUAACUCCGUGCCAGCAGCCGCGGUAAUACGGAGGGUGCAAGCGUUAUCCGGAAUCAUUGGGUUUAAAGGGUCCGCAGGCGGAUUUAUAAGUCAGUGGUGAAAUCCUAUCGCUUAACGAUAGAACUGCCAUUGAUACUGUAAGUCUUGAAUUCGGUCGGAGUGGGCGGAAUGUGUAGUGUAGCGGUGAAAUGCAUAGAUAUUACACAGAACACCGAUAGCGAAGGCAGCUCACUAGGCCUGAAUUGACGCUCAGGG